rnacentral:rRNA from 1 species
GACGAACGCUGGCGGCGUGCUUAACACAUGCAAGUCGUACGGUAAGGCCCUUUCGGGGGUCCACGAGUGGCGAACGGGUGAGUAACACGUGAGUAACCUGCCCACAACUUUGGGAUAACGCUAGGAAACUGGUGCUAAUACUGGAUAUGUGCUCCUGCUGCAUGGUGGGGGUUGGAAAGCUCCGGCGGUUGUGGAUGGACUCGCGGCCUAUCAGCUUGUUGGUGGGGUAGUGGCCUACCAAGGCGGCGACGGGUAGCCGGCCUGAGAGGGUGACCGGCCACAGUGGGACUGAGAUACGGCCCAGACUCCGACGGGAGGCAGCAGUGGGGAAUAUUGCACAAUGGGCGCAAGCCUGAUGCAGCAACGCCGCGUGCGGGAUGACGGCCUUCGGGUUGUAAACCGCUUUCAGCAGGGACGAAGCUUUUUGUGACGGUACCUGCAGAAGAAGCACCGGCUAACUACGUG